rnacentral:lncRNA from 1 species
GUUGUACAGUACAAAAGUUAUGAGACACAAAUCAGACAAAUGUUUACUACUAUAGGGAUCAAUGGUGAGGUCUGACUGACCUGUCCAUAGUAAAUGUAAAUGACUUCCACCUUCACCCCAAGUCCAUGAUGUCUAAGUUUGGAAUAAAAUGACAGGUGUUAGGGUCUAGAAAAGUGAUAUGCAUAUGUGUCGCCUAUGAGAUUGACCUUGUAUGUCAUUCAAUCUUUUUUGAAAUGACAAACAGGAAUGAAUAUGGUUUAGGCGUUGGUAUCUUAAUAUUUUACAAGUUCAAAAAACACACACAAGAGGAUGUGGG